UUGUAAUUACAUUAUUCCAAUGGGAGAUAUCUCUUCGAUUCCUUCCAAUUUCGAAAGUCUUCCUUUUUAGGUAAAGAAAAUGUUAUCAAAUUUAAACAUGAUCAGAUGAAAAUUUGUGAUCCGUACUUAAUACGUAAAUAAACAUGGGCAAUGGAAACCAGACAGAGUGACAUGGCUUUAUCUAAUCAACAAGAAUAAAAAGUGUCAGAGAAAAUGUACUAUUCACAAUUAUCAGAAGGCUACAACUUCAAUGAAUCAGUUUCCAGUGGGCGUAACAUUAUUUAAAGAAUUCUAAACUGUUAGAUAUGUUCAGAAAUUUCCCACCAUAUGUAAGAAACUUCAAUAAAAAAACGAAUUCUCAUUUCUUACGAAAUGUAUUAAGUAAAA